CUCCUUCCGGCCGGCACGCCCCGGACGUGACCUCGCGGGCGCGCGCCGGAGCCGCCCUGGGGGAGGAGCCCGCACCCCUCGAGCAGUAGCCUCGCUUUCCCUGAUGAAACUCUAGUACUGCCUCAUGUCCCUGACCCCUGACCUCCGAGCCCCCCUGCCCCCAAUAUCUGUCCUAGGGCCCCAGCCGUGCAGCCUCAGUAUUUCUUUGCACCUUUUUCUCUUUUCUUCCACCCGGCUCCCCCCAGGCACAUUCACUUCCGGCAUCAUCUCUGCUGUCCGUCUGUCCUCCAUCCUUCCGUCGUGAAGGGCCCGCCCACUUUCUGAGAGACAGACGCGGAGCCCAUGGGCAUCAGCUGAAAGGGCAGAUCCCGCUCGGGGCCAGCCUGUCUGUCACCUGCUCAGAGACGGCCCGGCUUGCCGCCAUCUAUGUCCGGGGCCACCUGGCCUUGGGCCAGUGUUCCCGCCUGGAGUCAUGCUUCAGACCCUGGUUUCGCCCUCAUGUCAAAGCUGGUGACAACAGUCCAAUCUUACAGAGUUCUCAUGAGAACCGAUGUCAGGUGCCCUCAUCUCUAGAAGUCCUUGCCCAGAAGACUGCUUGAGCUGUCUUGUCCCGUUUAGUCCUGAAAACCACCCUGUCAGGUAGAAAGUCACUGUCCAGCCCAUUUUGUAGAUGAAACCAGGGAGGCUCAGAGAAGUCAAGUCAUUGGCCCCAGGGCACACAGCUAUAAGGCAGCAGAGGCGAGGUUCAAGUGCACACCAGUUCACUCCAGAGCCUAAGCUUCUCACCGCUCUUCCCUUCUGGGUCCUCUUUCUUCGUGUCCUGUUCACUCAUUCGGCCACUGUCUAUGGUGCGCCUGCUUUCUGGGGCCGCGGUGGUGGCAGAUGAGGCCCUGCCCUGUCUGUGGAGAUGUACAGGAUCUCCUGUGGGCAACUGCUGUCUGCCCUGGGGGCUCAGGCCAGGCCAGCCCCUCCCCAUCUGGCUUCCCCACUGCUCCUUGAACCUAAAGGCCUGUGGGGUGCUGCAGUGGAUGUGAAAGAGGAAGCAGGUCACAGCAGGACCGCUGUGGGCAUCGGGAUCCUCGGGGGGGUGGGGGCAGUGCAGGCAUGAAAGGAAUGGGGUGCAGCCGGGUACCCCAGCCAGGCACCACUUCAUCCCCAGCAGAUGGCUGUCCCAAAAAAGAGGGGCAGUGACAAGUGUCUGGGGGGGGAGGAAUGGGAGCCCCUCCCACUGCUGGUGGGCAUGUCAGAUGGUGCUGGCAGUCCUUCAGCACGGGGUCACCAUGUGCCCUGGCGAUUCCACUCCUAGGUAUGCACCCAAGGGAAAGGAAAACACAUCCACAUGUGGAGUCCUGCUGUGGCACAAUGGGAUUGGCAGUGUCUCCAGAGUACAGGUUCGAUCCCUGGCCUGGCCCAGUACGUUAAGGAUCUGGGCAGCUCUGGCGUAGGUCACAACUAUGGCUCAGGUCUGCUCCCUGGCCCGGGAACUCCAUAUGCCACAGAGCAGCCAAAAAAACAACAAGCAAAUAAAACAUGUCCAUGCAAAAACUCAUCCUCAGACGUUCACAGCAGCAUUAUUCCUAACAGUCAAAAGAGAGAAACAACCAAAAUGUCCAUCAGCAAAUGAGUGGAUAAACAAACGGUGGUCUGUCCACACCAUGAAAUAUUACUCAGCCAUGAAAAGGAAUGAAGUCCUGACGUGGCCACAACGUGGAUACAUUUUGCAGACAUGGUGCUCAUUGAAAGAAGCCAGACACAAAAGGCCACGUAUUGCAUGGUUCCACUUCUAUAAAAUGUUCAGAAUAGGCAAAUCUAUAGACAAAGUAGAUGACUGGUUGCCAGGGACUGGAGGUGGGGGUUUGAGGGAAAACUGGGAAGCAGUGCAGGGUUUCUUUUGGGGUGAUAAAAAUAUUCUGAAAUUGAUGGUGGUGAUGGUUGCACUACAUUGAAAUACUGAAAACCUUUGAAUUGUAUAUUCUUUCUUUCUCUCUUUCUUUCUUUCUUUCUUUCUUUCUUUCUUUCUUUCUUUCUUUCUUUCUUUCUUUCUUUCUUUCUUUCUUUCUUUCUUUCCCUCCCUCCCUCCCUCCCUCCCUCCCUCCCUCCCUCCUUCCUUCCUUCCUUCCUUCUUUCUUUCUUUUUGGUCUUUUUUGGGUCACACCCACGGCAUAUGGAAGUUCCCAGGCCAGGGGUUGAAUCAGAGCUCUACCUGCCAGCCUACGUGCCACAGCCACAGCAACGCCAGAUCUGAGCUGAGUCUGCGACCUACACUGCAGCUGAUGGCAAUGUCGGAUCCUUAACCUACUGAGUGAAGGAAGGGAUUGAACCCGAGUCCUCAUGGAUACCAGUCCGGUUCGUUACCUCUGAGCCACAAUGGGAAAUGCAUUUUUUUUUCUUUUUUCUUUGGCCACACCCACGGCAUGCAAAAGUUCCUGGGCCAGGGCUCGAACCCACAACACAUCAGUGACUGAGCCAUAGCAAGCAGUGGCAACACUGGAUCCUUCAUCUGCUUAGCCAUCAGGGAACUCCAAAUUGUAUACUUUAAAAUGGUACAUUGUAGGAGUUCCUGCCGUGGAGCAACAGAAUCAGUGGCAUCUCCGCAGCAUCAGGAUGCAGGUUCCAUCCCCAGCCCAGCACAGUGAGUUAAGGGUCCAGAGUUCCCCAAGCUGUGGCAUAGGUCAGAUCUGAUCCCUGGCCUGGGAACUCCAUAUGCCAAGGGGCGGCCAAAAAAGAAAAGAAAAAAGGAAAAUUGUAUACUGUGUGAAUUAUAUCUGAAUAAAACUUUUAUUAAAAAGUAUUAGGGCGUUCCCGUUGUGGCGCAGUGGUUAACAAAUCCGACUAGGAACCAUGAGGUUGCGGGUUCAGUCCCUGCCCUUGCUCAGUGGGUUAACGAUCUGGCGUUGCCGUGAGCUGAGGUGUAGGCUGCAGACUUGGCUCGGAUCCUGCGUUGCUGUGGCUCUGGCGUAGGCUGGCAGCUACAGCUCCGAUUAGAUCCCUAGCCUGGGAACCUCCAUAUGCUGUGGGAGCGGCCCAAGAAAUGGCAAAAAGACAAAAAAAAUAUUAGUAGGCCAGCGGCUACAGCUCCAAUUGGACCCCUCGCCUGGGAACCUCCAUAUGCCACAGGUACAGCCCUAGAAAGACAAAAUAUAUGUAUAUGUAUUUCUGAAGCCCAAGGAUUCAGAAACUGGCUGAGUGAUGGGACAUUCUUUGGGGUCACUUUGCUGUGGUUCUCAUGAUGGCUGAGAAGUGAUUCUGUAGAUAAGGUCUUCCUUCAUCCGUCAGUUAACCCCUCGGAGAGGCCCCACCCCCACGACCCUUCCUGUGUCACUUGUCCUCGGUGUCAGCCCCUUCUUUCCUUCCUUUAGAGCUGUUCCCACACUUGGAAUUGUAUUCUGUCCGUGGACCUGAUUUUUGUCUCAUUCUCGUGCUGGGCCAAGUUCCAUGAGGUCGGGGGGGCUUGUCUCUGUCUUGUUUGCCAUAUAGUAGGUGCUCUGUAAAUACCUGCUGUGCAAAUGGGCCACAUCACAACUGGGGGCGACUGGCCGGGGUCUGCGCUCGCUGCAGGGAGAGAGCCGGCAGGGUGGAUCAGGGUGUCUCCCGGCCCCAGUGGCUUUCUUUUCCUCUGUUCCAGUUCCAGGAGAAUGCCUCUGGAAAGGAAGCCCAAAGCCUGGUCUGGCUGGGAGGAGGCGAGCGGGGAGGGGCGCCGAGUGGGAGUGGGGGCCGGCGGGCCUGGGGAGGAAGUCUGCAGCCCCAGGCUGCCGAGGGUGCGGUGGCUGUGUUUGCACCUUUGGAAUGUGGCUGAUUCACUCUGGGGGGAGCCACGCAGCCACCGCUGCUGCCUUGGAUCCGACAUCUGGAGGCCGAAUUCCAAGAGGAGAGAGACAGAUCCUUGCACGCAGAUGCCAACUUGGAAGGUCGAACUGAGCGACGGAGCUGAGGAGGAGGAGGCUGAAAGGGUCGCGCACCGCCCCCCAGGAUUCUGGGAGAGGAGUGCCCCCUUCCCCAGCCUUGUCCCAGCCCCUGAGGGGACAGUGUCGGGGAGGCAGACUGAGCUCUGCAGACAGACCUUCAAAGACCAGUUGGUUAACAGCUGGUGCUAAGUGCCAAGGCCAGAGGCUGAGCUGGUCCAGUGUCUGCCGUGGCCCCGGGACACUGGCUUGCAUCUCCUUGCCCAGUGUCCUCUGUGUGGCUUUCCCCUCCAGCCAUUGCUCCCCAAGGCCCUUGAACUCCCAGCGUGCCUCUCCCUGGGGCUCCAACAAGACCCUAGGCUUGGGAGUUUUGUGGCGUGGUGGAAAUAAAUCCAGCUAGCAUCCAUGAGGUUGUGGGUUCGAUCCCUGGCCUUGCUCAGUGGGUUAAAGGUCUGGCGUUGCAGUGAGCUGUGGUGUCACAGGCCCAGCUCGGAAACUGCAACAGCUCCAAUUAGACCCCCAGCCUGGGAACCUCCAUUUGCCGCCGAGGGUGCUGCCCUAAAAAGACAAAAGACAAAAGACAAAAAAAAAAAAAAAAAAAAA
rnacentral:lncRNA from 1 species